CUGCUGAGCAGUUUACCAUUGUGUGGCCACUGUACAUGCUAAAGCUUCUUGAAGUCACAGGCGAGAGAUGGAUCAGGUGGAAGCAGCCCUGGAAAGCGUCCAGCAGCCGUCACCCCAGAGAGCUCAGAAGGUGACUGGCAAGAUGCGUGUGGACCACCUGCCUGCCUGCUGCCCUGCUCCACCUUGGCCCGGGCACAAGGAUGAUGAGGAGAGAAGAAGGGCAUCGUGACAAAGCGAACAGAAGACCAGGCUUUGAGUCAGGACCGUCCCUGGCACAUGCUGACUGUGGGACCCUG